rnacentral:rRNA from 1 species
UACGAAGGGGGCUAGCGUUGCUCGGAAUCACUGGGCGUAAAGCGCACGUAGGCGGACCUUUAAGUCAGGGGUGAAAUCCUGGAGCUCAACUCCAGAACUGCCUUUGAUACUGGGGAUCUCGAGUCCGGGAGAGGUGAGUGGAACUGCGAGUGUAGAGGUGAAAUUCGUAGAUAUUCGCAAGAACACCAGUGGCGAAGGCGGCUCACUGGCCCGGUACUGACGCUGAGGUGCGAAAGCGUGGGGAGCAAACAGG